GUCUUUGCCCUUUGUUAUAUAUAGUUGUACUCAAGGAUAUAUAGUCACCAUUAAAUCAGAUAUUGGGUUUUUUAUAUUAUUUUGGUUUCUGUUUGAUGCUUUUUACAUGUAUCUUUCCAUAUUAUUUUGGUUUCUGUUUGAUGCUUUUUACUUAAUUAAUUAGCACACAGUGAAUUUUAUCUACUCUCUCCGUCUCUAAUUAUUUGACGUUUUUGAGGUAGACACAAGAAUUAAGAUAAUGAUUGAAAAGCAUUAAAUAUAGUACUCAAUUGUCUAUAAUACCCUCAAAUCUUUUGUUAGAAUAAGGAGAGAG
rnacentral:lncRNA from 1 species